rnacentral:rRNA from 2 species
CGAGCGGCGGACGGGUGAGUAAUGUCUGGGAAACUGCCUGAUGGAGGGGGAUAACUACUGGAAACGGUAGCUAAUACCGCAUGACCUCGAAAGAGCAAAGUGGGGGAUCUUCGGACCUCACGCCAUCGGAUGUGCCCAGAUGGGAUUAGCUAGUAGGUGAGGUAAUGGCUCACCUAGGCGACGAUCCCUAGCUGGUCUGAGAGGAUGACCAGCCACACUGGAACUGAGACACGGUCCAGACUCCUACGGGAGGCAGCAGUGGGGAAUAUUGCACAAUGGGCGCAAGCCUGAUGCAGCCAUGCCGCGUGUGUGAAGAAGGCCUUAGGGUUGUAAAGCACUUUCAGCGAGGAGGAAGGCAUCAUACUUAAUACGUGUGGUGAUUGACGUUACUCGCAGAAGAAGCACCGGCUAACUCCGUGCCAGCAGCCGCGGUAAUACGGAGGGUGCAAGCGUUAAUCGGAAUUACUGGGCGUAAAGCGCACGCAGGCGGUUUGUUAAGUCAGAUGUGAAAUCCCCGCGCUUAACGUGGGAACUGCAUUUGAAACUGGCAAGCUAGAGUCUUGUAGAGGGGGGUAGAAUUCCAGGUGUAGCGGUGAAAUGCGUAGAGAUCUGGAGGAAU